GACGAACGCUGGCGGCGUGCUUAACACAUGCAAGUCGAACGGAAAGGCCCAGCUUGCUGGGUACUCGAGUGGCGAACGGGUGAGUAACACGUGGGUGAUCUGCCCUGCACUCUGGGAUAAGCCUGGGAAACUGGGUCUAAUACCGGAUAUGACCAACUGUCGCAUGGUGGUUGGUGGAAAGCUUUUGCGGUGUGGGAUGGGCCCGCGGCCUAUCAGCUUGUUGGUGGGGUAAUGGCCUACCAAGGCGACGACGGGUAGCCGACCUGAGAGGGUGGUCGGCCACACUGGGACUGAGACACGGCCCAGACUCCUACGGGAGGCAGCAGUGGGGAAUAUUGCACAAUGGGCGCAAGCCUGAUGCAGCGACGCCGCGUGAGGGAUGACGGCCUUCGGGUUGUAAACCUCUUUCACCAGGGACGAAGCGUGAGUGACGGUACCUGGAGAAGAAGCACCGGCCAACUACGUGCCAGCAGCCGCAGUAACAC
rnacentral:rRNA from 1 species